GACGAGGGGUCCUAGCGUUGUUCGGAAUCAUUGGGCGUAAAGCGGGUGUAGGCGGUCUGAUAAGUCAGGAGUGAAAGCCCUGGGCUCAACCCAGGAAGUGCUUUUGAUACUGUCGGACUUGAGUAUCGGAGAGGGCAGUGGAAUUCCUGGUGUAGUGGUGAAAUACGUAGAUAUCAGGAGGAACAUCGGUGGCGAAGGCGGCUGCCUGGCCGAAUACUGACGCUGAGACCCGAAAGCGUGGGGAG
rnacentral:rRNA from 1 species